AUACGUAGGUGACAAGCGUUAUCCGGAUUUACUGGGCGUAAAGGGCGCGUAGGCGGCCCGGUAAGUCUGGAGUGAAAGUCCUGUUUUUAAGAUGGGAAUUGCUUUGGAUACUGUCGGGCUUGAGUGCAGGAGAGGAAAGUGGAAUUCCCAGUGUAGCGGUGAAAUGCGUAGAGAUUGGGAGGAACACCAGUGGCGAAGGCGACUUACUGGACUGUAACUGACGCUGAGGCGCGAAAGUGUGGGGAGCAAACAGGAUUAGAUACCCUGGUAGUCCACACUGUAAACGAUGAAUGCUAGGUGUAGGGGGUAUCGACCCCUUCUGUGCCGCAGUCAACACAAUAAGCAUUCCGCCUGGGGAGUACGGCCGCAAGGUUGAAACUCAAAGGAAUUGGCGGGG
rnacentral:rRNA from 1 species